AGAGUUUGAUCCUGGCUCAGAUUGAACGCUGAUGCCUUACACAUGCAAGUCGAACGGCAGCGGACCUUCGGGUGCCGGCGAGUGGCGAACGGGUGAGUAAAGUAUCGGAACGUACCUUUCAGUGGGGGAUAACGUAGCGAAAGUUACGCUAAUACCGCAUAUUCUCUGAGGAGGAAAGCAGGGGACCUUCGGGCCUUGCGCUGAUUGAGCGGCCGAUAUCAGAUUAGCUAGUUGGUGGGGUAAAGGCCUACCAAGGCGACGAUCUGUAGCGGGUCUGAGAGGAUGAUCCGCCACACUGGAACUGAGACACGGUCCAGACUCCUACGGGAGGCAGCAGUGGGGAAUUUUGGACAAUGGGCGCAAGCCUGAUCCAGCCAUGCCGCGUGAGUGAAGAAGGCCUUCGGGUUGUAAAGCUCUUUCGGCCGGGAAGAAAUCGCAUCGGUUAAUACCCGAUGUGGAUGACGGUACCGGAAUAAGAAGCACCGGCUAACUACGUGCCAGCAGCCGCGGUAAUACGUAGGGUGCGAGCGUUAAUCGGAAUUACUGGGCGUAAAGCGUGCGCAGGCGGUUUUGUAAGACAGGCGUGAAAUCCCCGGGCUCAACCUGGGAACUGCGCUUGUGACUGCAAGGCUAGAGUAUGGCAGAGGGGGGUGGAAUUCCACGUGUAGCAGUGAAAUGCGUAGAGAUGUGGAGGAACACCGAUGGCGAAAGCAGCCCCCUGGGCCAAUACUGACGCUCAUGCACGAAAGCGUGGGUAGCAAACAGGAUUAGAUACCCUGGUAGUCCACGCCCUAAACGAUGUCAACUAGGUGUUGGGAGGGUAAAACCUUUUAGUACCGGAGCUAACGCGUGAAGUUGACCGCCUGGGGAGUACGGCCGCAAGGUUAAAACUCAAAGGAAUUGACGGGGACCCGCACAAGCGGUGGAUGAUGGUGGAUUAAUUCGAUGCACGCGAAAA
rnacentral:rRNA from 1 species